rnacentral:rRNA from 1 species
CAGCCGCCACGGGAAUACGGAGGGUGCAAGCGUUAAUCGGAAUUACUGGGCGUAAAGCGCACGCAGGCGGUCUGUCAAGUCAGAUGUGAAAUCCCCGGGCUUAACCUGGGAACUGCAUUUGAAACUGGCAGGCUAGAGUCUCGUAGAGGGGGGUAGAAUUCCAGGUGUAGCGGUGAAAUGCGUAGAGAUCUGGAGGAAUACCGGUGGCGAAGGCGGCCCCCUGGACAAAGACUGACGCUCAGGUGCGAAAGCGUGGGGAGCAAACAGGAUUAGAUACCCCUGUAGUCCCUGUCUCUUAUAC